UACGGAGGGGGCAAGCGUUAUUCGGAAUUAUUGGGCGUAAAGGGCGCGUAGGCGGCUAGAUGUGUCAAAGGUGAAAUCCCUCGGCUCAACUGAGGAACUGCCUUUGAUACUGGGAAUCUCGAGUCCGGGAGAGGUGAGUGGAACUGCGAGUGUAGAGGUGAAAUUCGUAGAUAUUCGCAAGAACACCAGUGGCGAAGGCGGCUCACUGGCCCGGUACUGACGCUGAGGUGCGAAAGCGUGGGGAGCAAACAGG
rnacentral:rRNA from 1 species